rnacentral:rRNA from 1 species
CCCUUAGAUGUCCUGGGCCGCACGCGCGCUACACUGAGUGUCUGAGAUACGAGUCUGCCUGGUCCGGCAAGGUCUAGGUAAUCGCUAAAAGACACAUCAUGCUUGGGAUAGAUUAUUGCAAAUAUUAAUCUUGAACGAGGAAUUCCUAGUAAGCGCAAGUCAACAGCUUGCGUUGAUUACGUCCCUGCCCUUUGUACACACCGCCCGUCGCUACUACUGAUUGGAUGUUUAAGCGAGGUUCUCGAACUGCUAGCGACUUAGCUUCGGUGAGGUCGCAGUGUGGGAAGUGAACCUGGCUUUGGUGUCUAGAGGAAGUAAAAGUCGUAACA